rnacentral:rRNA from 1 species
UACGUAGGGUGCAAGCGUUAAUCGGAAUUACUGGGCGUAAAGCGUGCGCAGGCGGUUUUGUAAGUCUGUCGUGAAAUCCCCGGGCUCAACCUGGGAAUUGCGAUGGAGACUGCAAGGCUAGAAUCUGGCAGAGGGGGGUAGAAUUCCACGUGUAGCAGUGAAAUGCGUAGAGAUGUGGAGGAACACCGAUGGCGAAGGCAGCCCCCUGGGUCAAGAUUGACGCUCAUGCACGAAAGCGUGGGGAGCAAACAGGAUUACGAAACCCGGG